UAAGGAAUAUUGGGCAAUGGACGCAAGUCUGACCCAGCCAUGCCGCGUGAAGGAUGACGGCCCUAUGGGUUGUAAACUUCUUUUGUACGGGAAAAAACCUUCGAACGUGUUCGAAGCUGAUGGUACCGUAAGAAUAAGCAUCGGCUAACUCCGUGCCAGCAGCCGCGGUAAUACGGAGGAUGCAAGCGUUAUCCGGAUUCAUUGGGUUUAAAGGGUGCGUAGGCGGGAUAAUAAGUCAGUGGUGAAAGCCUACAGCUUAACUGUAGAACUGCCAUUGAUACUGUUAACCUUGAGUACAAUUGAAGUGGGCGGAAUGUGUCAUGUAGCGGUGAAAUGCUUAGAUAUGACACAGAACACCGAUAGCGAAGGCAGCUCACUAAACUGUAACUGACGCUGAGGC
rnacentral:rRNA from 1 species